rnacentral:lncRNA from 1 species
CAGCUUCUCCCAAGUGGGUCUGACACCUACUCCCACUGCUUGCUGCUAGGAUUCCACCUGGCGAUCUGUUCACCAUCUGCCCUGACCUGUCUCCCCCUGUCUGGUACAGGUACCUCGUGAAUCUGCCUCGUGAAUCUGUCUCUCACUCCUUAAAUUCCCUCCCACCACACUCCCCCUGUCUGGUACAGGUACCCCCACCACACUCCCCUCUCUCCCUGGCCUGUCUCCCCGUCUGCACGCUUUGUUGACGAUGCACUUUCUUGUUUACCCAAUCGUGGGAUUAACUAUGUUUGUUUCCACACUCGGGACUCUCUAUUGGUUACACGUACUCUUUGCCCUCCCAUCCUAUUCUAACCACCUCUCGCCGGCUUUAUAUUCAUGUCACCUGAUGAAAUUGCUGUACAAUAUGAUCUUGUUGCCGUCUGAUGCACAUUCAGAUGUCAUAGAUCAGCACUGCAGAGCUCUCCCUGUCCUCUGCCGUGCCUUGAUUGUAUUACUGCUGAUGAUAUCUGGAAAUGUGCAUGUACACCCUGGCCCAUCUCCUGUUGCUAGCCCCAAUUCUGACCUGUGCUCUGAUAUCUACUUCACUGAUUUCUUCUCUCGUAAAAGCCUGGGUUUUCUGCACGUUAACAGUAGAAGCUUAUUACCUAAAAUGGAUCAAUUGAAAGUGUGGGUUCCCAGCUCCAAUCCAGUGUGGUUCAGGAAGAGUGUUUUGAACACUGAUGUUAACCUUUCUGGUUAUAACCUUUUUCGGCAAGACAGAUCUUCCAAAGGUGGUGGAGUGGCAAUCUUUACCAAGGAUCACCUUCAGUGCUCGGUUGUCUCCACCAAGUCUGUCCCCAAACAAUUUGAUUUGCUGGUUUUAAGUAUUAAACUUUCAAAUAACUCUUUGUUGACCGUUGCUGGGUUCUAUCGUCCUCCACCGACCUGUACCCUACCUGCCCUGAGCUCUCUCCUGGCCCCUUUCACUAAGUCUGAAUUUGUCUUGCCAGGUGACCUAAACUGGGACAGGCUUAAACCACCUGACCAAGUCCUAAAGCAAUGGGACUCCCUAAAUCUUUCUCAGAUAAUUACCAAUCCCACA